rnacentral:rRNA from 2 species
ACAACUGAUAGGAAUCCUUAGUGGCGGACGGGUGAGUAACGCGUGAGGAACCUGCCUUGGAGUGGGGAAUAACAGUUGGAAACAACUGCUAAUACCGCAUAAUGCAUUUGGGCUGCAUGGUCUAAAUGCCAAAGAUUUAUCGCUCUGAGAUGGCCUCGCGUCUGAUUAGCUAGUUGGUGGGGUAAUGGCCCACCAAGGCGACGAUCAGUAGCCGGACUGAGAGGUUGGCCGGCCACAUUGGGACUGAGACACGGCCCAGACUCC